GACGAACGCUGGCGGCGUGCCUAAUACAUGCAAGUUGAGCGCUUAAGGUUGGUACUUGUACCAACUGGAUGAGCAGCGAACGGGUGAGUAACGCGUGGGGAAUCUGCCUUUGAGCGGGGGACAACAUUUGGAAACGAAUGCUAAUACCGCAUAAAAACUUUAAACACAAGUUUUAAGUUUGAAAGAUGCAAUUGCAUCACUCAAAGAUGAUCCCGCGUUGUAUUAGCUAGUUGGUGAGGUAAAGGCUCACCAAGGCGAUGAUACAUAGCCGACCUGAGAGGGUGAUCGGCCACAUUGGGACUGAGACACGGCCCAAACUCCUACGGGAGGCAGCAGUAGGAAUCUUCGGCAAUGGACGAAAGUCUGACCGAGCAACGCCGCGUGAGUGAAGAAGGUUUUCGGAGCGUAAAACUCUGUUGGUAGAGAAGAACGUUGGUGAGAGUGGAAAGCUCAUCAAGUGACGGUAACUACCCAGAAAGGGACGGCUAACUACGUGC
rnacentral:rRNA from 1 species